AGGAAAGGAUCAACUAAAAGUGGACAUGGAAAUAUGUAUCGAACUUUUAUUCUACAAUAAACAAGUCCAAAUCUAACACUUGAAAUUUAUAACAACACAAAUAAAUUUAAUGAGAAACUUAUGACAUAGAUAAAAUGGUGAAUGAAGUGCAUUAACUUAAUCAAUUUAGGACAUGUACAGUGUAACUAGAAUAAGGCUAGAUUAAUAACUUCAACUCAUACCUAGUACCUACAUAAGUAUAUAUUAACCUAAAUAGAUGAGUGGAGUAGAGAAACUUGAAAGAGUAGGCAUUCCAAACAACAAAAUCAACAGAUACUCACAAUAGGAUGGGCAAGUAGCUCUCGAAAGUUGUAGAUGUUUUUUUGAACAAGGUAGUUGUAGAUGUUAUCUCCCAGCAGGGCAUAAAUGCCAAAUCCUAACAGAUCACAAAAAAAAAGAACUGGAUUGAAAUGCAAAAAAUUUGAACGGACUUAUACAGUACAAUUUGAAAAGUUACCGAAUUUAGCCAUCUUCCAAAUUGUUAUGAAACUGCCACAUCUAGCCAAAACUGCCAACUGCAGAAAAACUUCAGUUCUGGAGCAGUAAAAGAUAAACUCUUUAGUGUAGAGUUCUAACCUCAAAUUGAUAUAUCCCUUGCAUAAGAAAAUGAGAUUAUAAUGAAUGUUCCAAUACUAAACACAAAUGCUGAUCUUGAAACAUCUUUCCACGUUAUUAAAUCCACUUAAGAAGAGNNNNNNNNNNNNNNNNNGAAUUAUUAUUAUUAGUUGGUAUAAAUUGAAUUGAAUGAAAAUUUGUAACACGCAAUCACAUAAUUAAAGAUGAGAGAGUCACCUAGACUCUGCAACUUGCUUUGGUUUUGUGGAAAAAGCUAUUAUGUUCUUCUUCCUUUGGACCCAAACCUUAAAAAUCAGUAACACAAUUUUUUUUUAUAAAAAUAAUAAUAAGGUAAACAAAUUAAACCCAAAAGUAAGAAAUUGAAACUGAAUAUAAUAAUAGUUCAAGUGAUCAAAUGCCAAAUCCUAACAGAUUACAAAAAAAAUGUGCAUUCACUAAUAUCAUAUCAUAUAUGCAGAUAAAUAGAAAAUAAACCAUAGACUACUAUGAACUCUCAUGUAACUCUCAUGAUUUGAGACAGCAAAAAAGGAAUAAAUAUAUCAACAAAACAUUUCACAGUCAAUAACAUACCCGUUUGAGUGAAUCAGAGAGUGACUCCACUGCUAUGCAUACUCAGUAAUAGCUCGCAUACACAGCUGGAUCAAUAUAUGUCAUGUUGUCUAGUGGCUUGCAGUUUCUCAAUGACCCCUUUAAAAAUAAGUCAAAUUUAAUGAGUCACUUUAAGUGCUCUGUCAUACUACUUUGGUGUAAGAAGUGGANNNNNNNNNNNNNNNNNNNNNNNNGAAAAAAUAACAGGUGAUUACCAACACCCAAAAACAACUUUGUCUUCUAAAUUAAAUCAAUUUUGCAAAUUCAAUUGUAAGCAUACCUUAAUGACGGCAGUUUGAGUUGUGAAAGCAUGACGACGAACGAGUACGACUAUUGACGGUUAAAUUCGUGGGUUAUUGGAUUAAGGUUCUUGGAGAGAAGAUGAUUUUUGGGUUAUGGGUUAGGGUUCACAGUGGUUUAUGGGUUCUUGGAUAUUAGGAUUGACGAGUGUGAUUGGAGAAGACGAGUUGAACGAUUAAUCUGGGAAACAACUUAUCUGAGUUCCGAUUGCUCUAACUUCAAUUUAUCUGGGAAUCAACCUCUCUGAGUUCCGUUUGCUCUGAGUUUGAUUACAGAGGACCGAGAUUCCUUUCGGUUUGAAGCCACAAGACGAUCGAUUUUGAAUCUUAGGGUUUGAGUUCAAUGUUUGGUGGGAAUGGUUUGAAGAAGUUAGAAGAAUAUUGAUUUUUUUUCUAGGGUUUGAAUUCAAUUUUUCCUGGAAGUGGAUUGAAGAUCGUGGUGAUAAAUUAGUGAU
rnacentral:lncRNA from 1 species